rnacentral:rRNA from 1 species
ACUCCUGCGGGAGGCAGCAGUGGGGAAUAUUGCACAAUGGGCGCAAGCCUGAUGCAGCCAUGCCGCGUGUAUGAAGAAGGCCUUCGGGUUGUAAAGUACUUUCAGCGGGGAGGAAGGCAAUACGGUUAAUAACCGUGUUGAUUGACGUUACCCGCAGAAGAAGCACCGGCUAACUCCGUGCCAGCAGCCGCGGUAAUACGGAGGGUGCAAGCGUUAAUCGGAAUUACUGGGCGUAAAGCGCACGCAGGCGGUCUGUCAAGUCGGAUGUGAAAUCCCCGGGCUCAACCUGGGAACUGCAUUCGAAACUGGCAGGCUUGAGUCUUGUAGAGGGGGGUAGAAUUCCAGGUGUAGCGGUGAAAUGCGUAGAGAUCUGGAGGAAUACCGGUGGCGAAGGCGGCCCCCUGGACAAAGACUGACGCUCAGGUGCGAAAGCGUGGGGAGCAAACAGGAUUAGAUACCCUUGUAGUCCCAUGA